rnacentral:rRNA from 1 species
GACGAACGCUGGCGGCGUGCUUAACACAUGCAAGUCGAACGGAAAGGCCCUGCUUGUGUGGGGUGCUCGAGUGGCGAACGGGUGAGUAACACGUGAGUAACCUGCCCUUGACUUUGGGAUAACUUCAGGAAACUGGGGCUAAUACCGGAUAGGAGCUCCUGCUGCAUGGUGGGGGUUGGAAAGUUUCGGCGGUUGGGGAUGGACUCGCGGCUUAUCAGUUUGUUGGUGGGGUAGUGGCUUACCAAGGCUUUGACGGGUAGCCGGCCUGGGAGGGUGACCGGCCACAUUGGGACUGAGAUGCGGCCCAGACUCCUACGGGAGGCAGCAGUGGGGAAUAUUGCACAAUGGGCGGAAGCCUGAUGCAGCAACGCCGCGUGCGGGAUGACGGCCUUCGGGUUGUAAACCGCUUUCGCCUGUGACGAAGCGUGAGUGACGGUAAUGGGUAAAGAAGCACCGGCUAACUACGUG